ACUUAUAAGCUGCUCAGCCAAACAUCCUCUAAAUGAUGCGAACGUGAGCCUGAAAUCUCGAGCAAUGAACGCUUGAUAUUAUAAGCUAGCCAGUGUGGAAUUACAAAUGAAGAAUUCAACUUGAGAAGCUGAGCCUCAUGUUUAUGCCAACAAACGAAACAUAAGGACCAUGGGAAAUUGCAGCAAUUGAAUCAUUAAAGGAUCAAGAAAGCGUUGGACCAGAGUGGUUGAUCAACUGAUGUGGAUCAAUCAGAGGAUGCCAACACCGUAAGCACCUCAUACUUAUUCUCACAAUCGUAAUUUGCAUAAUAAAAUCAAAUGUACGCAUUCUUCGCCAAAAAAUUAUUCAGCGCCCACUGCUUUAGUACUGUUUUUAAGCGAUAAUCAAGCUCUUUGUUCCAAUGGAUUCUAAAAUCACAUAUAUUUCAAGAUGUGCGAUGUAGAUGCUAAAAAAAAAAAGUAAAAAAGAAAUGCGAUGUAGAAAGUGCGCGCAAGUUGUUUGACAAAAUGCCCCGAUAGAAUGCAGUCACAUAGAACUGCAUGAUUUAUGAAGCUCGACGAAUCCCUUAAAUUAGCAUCAAUUGCUUGCUCAUAUUCCUGCAUAUCUCUGGGAAACAUUGCUUAGAGUUUGCAGGAUACAUGAAAAUUAUGAAUUAAGUGAUUUAAUUGCAGAAAAAACUUUACACCAAGGACCUUGUGAUGUUGGGUUGUGUAUGCUUCAGUCAAACAUAUAUGCUGCACGUGACAUGUGCAAGAAUACAGCACAUACUAGAGAAAAAGUAAAACAAAGUGAAUUGAUGAAAUCAUGAAAGAAAUGGGAAGUAACUGGAUUGACCUACAUGGAAGUGUUUCUUGCUCCUCAUAUAAUGAUUAGUCUCAUAUAUGAACCUAAAGACAUACAAAGAGUUGGAGCGCGCUCUAUACUCAUAAAACAGUUUGGUUAGAUUAGCAUGUUUUGCUACAUUAUCCAGGAAUUUGAAAUUUCGGUGCUAAAUUCUGUGAUUAUAAAAUUUGUCUUGUACUCUCACUAGUUUUCUUCUGCACUGAUUCUGUAGUUUCUUGAAACAGUAGACUUUCAUUGGUUUCCAGGUGAAAGUGACAGUUCUGAUCUUGAAGUGUUUUCUUUUGUGAACUAUAGGAGGUGACUGUUGAGACAGCUGGGAAUUCAAACAUUUUUGUAGAUUAUACUGUUUUGUGAUUCACUGGAACUUCUCUGGCCACACAUUUAUUUGCAAUUCAAGAGGUAAAAGCUGAUUUCUGUUACUCCAUAGAGAUGUGACCUUACAAAUUUCUGUUAGUUAUUUCACUGGUUAUUCAUCUGACUUUAUUUGAACAACUAUACAAGCAUGCAGAUAUUACCUAAUAGUUCACUGUUCUCAUUCCACAUCAUUGAAAAAACUAAUGUACACUUACGGUGUGUUUACUUUGAUGGAUAAAUUUAUUAUGGGAAAGGAGGGAUAACAAAANUUUAUGUCUUUAAAUGUCUCAUUUCUCUUCCAACAUUUUACACAAAAGAGAAGCUCCACCAUUUUUCCUUCCUUAUUUCACUUCAAGGAUGGAUAAUAUUAUCCAUCCAUUUUCUUUNAUCCAUCAAAGUAAACGCACCCUUAGUGAUAUAUGUAAAUGUACUGCACGUAACUGAUGACGUAAGCAUGUACAAGUGAAGGCAGACUAUAGAUAGUAGUAUAAGCUGUAAACGGCACAAAUUAGAGCGAACGUGCUAGUCUCAGAGUCUUUUAGCUCAAGUUAUGAAGAUUGUUCCAAAUAAGGUGGAAUUGCCAUUAUAAGACAAAAUAUGAUCUGUCCUCUGUAAAUUAUGCAGGGAUGAAACUCUGACUAUAAAUUUAUUGUUUGCUUCAAAGUUUGCAAAUAUGGCUAUUGCGCCCAUGAUAUGUGUUAUAUGGCUCACCAGUUUUUAAUCACUUCAUUUUCAUGCUAUAAAAUUUAGUUUAUGAACAAAUAACAUUUCUCUAUAUGGUUCUGCACUGAUGAAGCAGAAUGAUAUUGAUUAAAUUUCUUCUUAAAUACUUCUAUUUUGUGAACUGUGAAGUUGUGUAAUGUCAAAUGAUUGAAGACUUCACGGAUCAUGACUGUGGGACAGUGACGAUACUCUAAAUUAGCAUCUGAUGGCUGCUGAUUGAAAUAGGAAGUAUUUUGGACAAUUCUGCUCUAUUUGACACAUGUAUGUGGAAAAAAAUCCUUCUUACAUAAGCAAACAAACUGGGUUUGGACAGCUGGAUAGUUAGGAUAUCUUUUACUUAGAACCUCUGUAGAUGCUUAUUUUUAAUAACGUUUUCCUACCUUUAGUGGAUGAGUGAACAAGACAAACACAUAAGUUCUGGUUGGUUUUGUUUUGUAUAAUAUCCUAGUCAGAAUGCAAACAGAAUGAUGGUGGAGUGGUUUGAGGGUUAAUACUUUAGUGGUUGAAAAGUUUACCGUAAAGUUGUUCAAAGACUUUGAUAGAUGGGCUUAAACAAUAACAUGCUUUACAAAUCCAUCUGAAAGGUUUCAUCUUGGCAUUUUCUUGGUUGCUGAAGUUUAUUUUAAUACUUGUUCAUAUCAAAGACUACUCCUAAUUAAUAAUCGUUGUUUUUAUAGGGUCAGUUCAAGCAAUGACGUGCCUUCAGGAAAUUCUCUAUGUUUGGUGCAUUUUGCUUUUGUGUAAAAGUAGAUAUUACGUGCAGACCCUGAUUGGCUGAACGGGGACCUCCUUUCCAAACAGCAGAUGAUGCUAAAGGCUAUUGAUUCCUCAAUUGGUCUUUUCAAGUACGAGAACAUUCAUGCUUUAGGCUAAAGUAAACAAAUUUCCAAAGGCAUGCAUGCCCUAUAUAUAUUCCAUUUUCUUAAAAGUCCUGAUCUGCUAAAUAGUAAUUAAAAAAUAUGCGUCGCUAAUAUAUUAGAUAUUCUAUAGAAAUAAGUUUGAGAAACAAAAUAUCCCAAAAGAAGAAUUUGAUGAAUAAACACAGCCGCACUUGAGCAACAUUUUGAGCCUCAUCUCACCGUUGCUAGGUGUAUUUUGAAGUUUACUUCUUUACCUUAUGCACGUCUCUGCAAUUUUACGAGAUCCAAAAGCUUCAUUGUAAUGUCCGAGAGAUGCUGAAUCUUUGAAAGCUUCACCAUUAAGUCUAAACUCUUUGAUCAGUGCAAGGAUUAGUUAGCAAUAGCAUAAAUUAUAUAUCUAUGACCAAUGUUCUGUACUUUUAUCUCUAUACAGUGAACUAAUUAGUGGAUUACUGUUGUAUCUAACUUAUGCUUUUAGACAGCUUGUUUUGGACUUUGGACUCUUGUUUAUUAGCAUACAUAGGCGUGCAAUGGAGUUCUGUAACAUACAUUGGUUCAUCUUGAAACAUGCAAUUGUUUUCAGCGUUAAAAUUUAUAAAAACUUUUCAUGUAGGAAUUAUUUCAAAGUCAGAUAUCAUUAAAACAUUGUUACUGUUAUGCAAAAGGACAGGAUUCAUAAUUUAUGUAGUUUUCCUUGGUUGCUGCUGAUACAUUGCAAGAAGAUCUAGGUCUCGGUAGACAUAAUAAGCUUAUGGUGUAGCUUAUACUCUUGAAUGAGUUGGCAGUUCAGUACGACCAUGCUAAGACACUAAGGGGAUGUUAGGAUUGGAGGAUGAUUAAAAUAAUCAACCCAACUUUGGGGUGAUAGAUAAUCAUCCAAUUGCAUGAUUAGGGUGCGAGCUUAGUUAUCCAUCACGGGCCGAAUCAUGCAAACCAAACACUUGAUUAAGUUGGAUUGUUUUAUCAAUCAUGUCUUAUCACUCAAACCAAACGCCUCCUACAGAAAAAACUUGGUGGGAGUGAUCCUCUGAUCUUAGUCAUAGCUUCAUCUAGCGAAGUUUACGCCUGCAACAUGUAGUGAUCCUUUGAUGAGCCUUAUGCCAUUGCUUGACUUAUACUUAAAGUGAACAGGAAGGACAUACCCUGUGGACACUAAACCAAUUUCUUGUAAUUGAUGCAGGCAUCUUGAGAAGUAUCGGAAUCUUUAUGGGGUGAAUUGAGAAUGGAGAGAAAAUGUUUGAAACUAAUGUAAGCAAAGAGGAGGACCUCAUGUUCAUUUUACAAGUUAAGGAAAAAAUGUAUUUUCCUCUUUUUGCUUCAUGUGUUCAAUUUUCAUCUGAAACUGUUUCAGAUUCGCUACAGAGUUUUGAAGAAUUCAACUACAAGAUGGACCAAUGCUCUGGUAGGCUCAUCCUUGGUAAUAUGUGGACUGCAAUGACUUCCAUACCUUGCGGAGGCUC
rnacentral:lncRNA from 1 species